rnacentral:rRNA from 1 species
AGCGCAGGCGGAAAAAUAAGUCUAAUGUGAAAGCCCUCGGCUUAACCGAGGAACUGCAUCGGAAACUGUUUUUCUUGAGUGCAGAAGAGGAGAGUGGAGCUCCAUGUGUAGCGGUGGAAUGCGUAGAUAUAUGGAAGAACACCAGUGGCGAAGGCGGCUCUCUGGUCUGCAACUGACGCUGAGGCUCGAAAGCAUGGGUAGCGAACA